CAAAUUAGAGCUUGAAAGUAAGUAUUUCAUUUACAUUGAGGGGAUAUUGUUUAUUACAAUUAAUUUGA
rnacentral:tRNA from 1 species